UUCGAGCGGUAGAGAGGAGCUUGCUCCUCUUGAGAGCGGCGGACGGGUGAGUAAUGCCUAGGAAUCUGCCUGGUAGUGGGGGAUAACGUUCGGAAACGGACGCUAAUACCGCAUACGUCCUACGGGAGAAAGCAGGGGACCUUCGGGCCUUGCGCUAUCAGAUGAGCCUAGGUCGGAUUAGCUAGUUGGUGAGGUAAUGGCUCACCAAGGCGACGAUCCGUAACUGGUCUGAGAGGAUGAUCAGUCACACUGGAACUGAGACACGGUCCAGACUCCUACGGGAGGCAGCAGUGGGGAGUAUUGGACAAUGGGCGAAAGCCUGAUCCAGCCAUGCCGCGUGUGUGAAGAAGGUCUUCGGAUUGUAAAGCACUUUAAGUUGGGAGGAAGGGCAGUUACCUAAUACGUGAUUGUUUUGACGUUACCGACAGAAUAAGCACCGGCUAACUCUGUGCCAGCAGCCGCGGUAAU
rnacentral:rRNA from 1 species